AGGACUUGGCGGUACCCCAGACCCACCUAGAGGAGCCUGUUCUACAACCGAUAAUCCCCGUUAAACCUCACCACUUCUUGCCAUCAUACCGCCUAUAUACCGCCGUCGUCAGCUCACCCCAUGAGGGAACAAGAGUAAGCAAAAUGGGUCAACCUCCAAUACGUCAGGUCGAGGUGUAGCGAACGAAGUGGAAAGAAAUGGGCUACAUUUUCUAUUAAGAAAAAACGAACAGUACAAUGAAAAAUUACUUAAAGGUGGAUUUAGCAGUAAGAAAAUCUUAGAAUACUAUCCUGAAACCGGCUCUGGGGUGCGCACACACCGCCCGUC
rnacentral:rRNA from 1 species